GACCAUCCUCCAAGGCUAAAUACUCCUGACUGACCGAUAGUGAACCAGUACCGUGAGGGAAAGGCGAAAAGAACCCCGGCGAGGGGAGUGAAAAAGAACCUGAAACCGUGUACGUACAAGCAGUGGGAGCCUCUUAAUGGGGUGACUGCGUACCUUUUGUAUAAUGGGUCAGCGACUUAUAUUCUGUAGCAAGGUUAACCGAAUAGGGGAGCCGAAGGGAAACCGAGUCUUAACUGGGCGCUAAGUUGCAGGGUAUAGACCCGAAACCCGGUGAUCUAGCCAUGGGCAGGUUGAAGGUUGGGUAACACUAACUGGAGGACCGAACCGACUAAUGUUGAAAAAUUAGCGGAUGACUUGUGGCUGGGGGUGAAAGGCCAAUCAAACCGGGAGAUAGCUGGUUCUCCCCGAAAGCUAUUUAGGUAGCGCCUCGUGAAUUCAUCUCCGGGGGUAGAGCACUGUUUCGGCAAGGGGGUCAUCCCGACUUACCAACCCGAUGCAAACUGCGAAUACCGGAGAAUGUUAUCACGGGAGACACACGGCGGGUGCUAACGUCCGUCGUGAAGAGGGAAACAACCCAGACCGCCAGCUAAGGUCCCAAAGUCAUGGUUAAGUGGGAAACGAUGUGGGAAGGCCCAGACAGCCAGGAUGUUGGCUUAGAAGCAGCCAUCAUUUAAAGAAAGCGUAAUAGCUCACUGGUCGAGUCGGCCUGCGCGGAAGAUGUAACGGGGCUAAACCAUGCACCGAAGCUGCGGCAGCGACACUAUGUGUUGUUGGGUAGGGGAGCGUUCUGUAAGCCUGUGAAGGUGGCCUGUGAGGGUUGCUGGAGGUAUCAGAAGUGCGAAUGCUGACAUAAGUAACGAUAAAGCGGGUGAAAAGCCCGCUCGCCGGAAGACCAAGGGUUCCUGUCCAACGUUAAUCGGGGCAGGGUGAGUCGACCCCUAAGGCGAGGCCGAAAGGCGUAGUCGAUGGGAAACAGGUUAAUAUUCCUGUACUUGGUGUUACUGCGAAGGGGGGACGGAGAAGGCUAUGUUGGCCGGGCGACGGUUGUCCCGGUUUAAGCGUGUAGGCUGGUUUUCCAGGCAAAUCCGGAAAACCAAGGCUGAGGCGUGAUGACGAGGCACUACGGUGCUGAAGCGACAAAUGCCCUGCUUCCAGGAAAAGCCUCUAAGCAUCAGGUAACAUCAAAUCGUACCCCAAACCGACACAGGUGGUCAGGUAGAGAAUACCAAGGCGCUUGAGAGAACUCGGGUGAAGGAACUAGGCAAAAUGGUGCCGUAACUUCGGGAGAAGGCACGCUGAUAUGUAGGUGAAGCGACUUGCUCGUGGAGCUGAAAUCAGUCGAAGAUACCAGCUGGCUGCAACUGUUUAUUAAAAACACAGCACUGUGCAAACACGAAAGUGGACGUAUACGGUGUGACGCCUGCCCGGUGCCGGAAGGUUAAUUGAUGGGGUUAGCGGUAACGCGAAGCUCUUGAUCGAAGCCCCGGUAAACGGCGGCCGUAACUAUAACGGUCCUAAGGUAGCGAAAUUCCUUGUCGGGUAAGUUCCGACCUGCACGAAUGGCGUAAUGAUGGCCAGGCUGUCUCCACCCGAGACUCAGUGAAAUUGAACUCGCUGUGAAGAUGCAGUGUACCCGCGGCAAGACGGAAAGACCCCGUGAACCUUUACUAUAGCUUGACACUGAACAUUGAGCCUUGAUGUGUAGGAUAGGUGGGAGGCUUUGAAGUGUGGACGCCAGUCUGCAUGGAGCCGACCUUGAAAUACCACCCUUUAAUGUUUGAUGUUCUAACGUUGGCCCCUAAUCGGGGUUGCGGACAGUGUCUGGUGGGUAGUUUGACUGGGGCGGUCUCCUCCUAAAGAGUAACGGAGGAGCACGAAGGUUGGCUAAUCCUGGUCGGACAUCAGGAGGUUAGUGCAAUGGCAUAAGCCAGCUUGACUGCGAGCGUGACGGCGCGAGCAGGUGCGAAAGCAGGUCAUAGUGAUCCGGUGGUUCUGAAUGGAAGGGCCAUCGCUCAACGGAUAAAAGGUACUCCGGGGAUAACAGGCUGAUACCGCCCAAGAGUUCAUAUCGACGGCGGUGUUUGGCACCUCGAUGUCGGCUCAUCACAUCCUGGGGCUGAAGUAGGUCCCAAGGGUAUGGCUGUUCGCCAUUUAAAGUGGUACGCGAGCUGGGUUUAGAACGUCGUGAGACAGUUCGGUCCCUAUCUGCCGUGGGCGCUGGAGAACUGAGGGGGGCUGCUCCUAGUACGAGAGGACCGGAGUGGACGCAUCACUGGUGUUCGGGUUGUCAUGCCAAUGGCACUGCCCGGUAGCUAAAUGCGGAAGAGAUAAGUGCUGAAAGCAUCUAAGCACGAAACUUGCCCCGAGAUGAGUUCUCCCUGAGACUUAGAGUCUCCUGAAGGAACGUUGAAGACGACGACGUUGAUAGGCCGGGUGUGUAAGCGCAGCGAUGCGUUGAGCUAACCGGUACUAAUGAACCGUGAGGCUUAACCUU
rnacentral:rRNA from 1 species